rnacentral:tRNA from 1 species
CAAGAAGUAGUUUAAGCAGAAUGUCGGUCUUGGGUGCUGAUAGCGGAGGGUGCCACUCUUCCUUCU